rnacentral:rRNA from 1 species
AAUGAACGUUGGCGGCGUGGAUUAGGCAUGCAAGUCGAGCGAGAAACUUUCUUUGAUCCUUCGGGUGAAAGAGAGCGGACAGCGGCGAAAGGGAGAGUAACGCGUAGAUCACGUACCCAGGGGUUCGGGAUAGCGGGGAAACCGCCGGUAAUACCGAUAAUGUCUCCGGACCAAAAUUUAUUGCCCUUGGAGCGGUCUGCGUCCUAUUAGCUUGUUGGUGUGAUAAAAGCGCACCAAGGCUAAGAUGGGUAGCGGGUGUGAGAGCAUGGCCCGUCUCACUGGGACUGAGACACUGCCCAGACACCUACGGGUGGCUGCAGUCGAGAAUCUUCCGCAAUGGACGAAAGUCUGACGGAGCGACGCCGCGUGCGGGAUGAAGGCCUUCGGGUUGUAAACCGCUGUCAGAGGGAGCAAAUUUUGAGCGAUCCUCAGAGGAAGCACAGGCUAAGUUCGUG